CAUCAAUGUUUACAAUAAUUUUCAUAAUACAAUAAUCUAAUAAAAAUAAUAUAACAAUUAAUCCAACUAAAAAAAAAAAAAAACUUGCACUAAUUUGCAAGUGGCUCUGUUGUCUCAUUAUAAGGACUGAGAAUUUGGCAGUAUAGUUAAACUCUCUGCUGACUAUGUUUUUGUGUGUAUUUUAAUUACAAAAGUACUCGUUAAGUUUCGGGAGAAAACGAAUUAGAAUGGAGAUUUUACGCGAUCUUUAUUUUUCACUUAAAGUAAAUAGUAAUGCGGAUUUUUGGAGAGGCCAAUAAGUAGAGAUGGCUUCUGACGCGUAUCGGACUCCGUUCCAAUAGCUCGUUUUCAAUGGUUCGACUAUCCUUGACCCUUUGGCGCUAAUGGAUUUUAGAUUUGACGCACAGAUUUUGAGAUAACUGGAUAUACAUGUAUUUUAUAUAUGUAUGUGCGUGUGUGGUUUUGCAGAUUUGGAGAGAGGAUGGGUUUCAUCACGAAUCUGCAACCAAACCAGGCGAAGCAAAAUUGUUUGUUUGAUGUCUCUGUCGUGCUUAACGCACUGGUGCAAUCCGUUCGCAAAUCUAACGGACGGAUCUUAUGAUAUCGCGCGUUGAUCGAGGAGGGGUCAUUAUUGGUGAAAUGGAGAUUUUGCGAAAAGCCCUACAUCGUGAAAUUGAAUUAGGGGGUGUGUUCGUUCGUUUUACUCGCGCUGUGAGGGAGU
rnacentral:lncRNA from 1 species